rnacentral:rRNA from 1 species
UACGGAGGGUGCAAGCGUUAUCCGGAUUCACUGGGUUUAAAGGGUGCGUAGGCGGGUUGGUAAGUCCGUGGUGAAAUCUCCGAGCUUAACUCGGAAACUGCCGUGGAUACUAUCAAUCUUGAAUAUCGUGGAGGUAAGCGGAAUAUGUCAUGUAGCGGUGAAAUGCUUAGAGAUGACAUAGAACACCAAUUGCGUAGGCAGCUUACUACACGAUCAUUGGCGCUGAGGCACGAAAGCGUGGGGAGCAAACAGG